CGCGUAGGCGGGGAGGUAAGUCGGGUGUGAAAUCCCUCGGCCCAACCCGAGGAACUGCGCCCGAAACUGCUUCUCUUGAGUCCCGGAGAGGAAGAUGGAAUUCCCGGUGUAGCGGUGAAAUGUGUAGAGAUCGGGAGGAACACCGAUGGCGAAGGCGGUCUUCUGGACGGUGACUGACGCUGAGGCGCGAAAGCGUGGGGAGCAAAAG
rnacentral:rRNA from 1 species